UACGAAGGGGGCUAGCGUUGUUCGGAUUUACUGGGCGUAAAGCGCACGUAGGCGGAUCGUUAAGUCGGGGGUGAAAUCCUGGAGCUCAACUCCAGAACUGCCUUCGAUACUGGCGAUCUUGAGUCCGGAAGAGGUGAGUGGAACUCCUAGUGUAGAGGUGAAAUUCGUAGAUAUUAGGAAGAACACCGGUGGCGAAGGCGGCCCACUGGUCCGGUACUGACGCUGAGGUGCGAAAGCGUGGGGAGCAAACAGG
rnacentral:rRNA from 1 species